rnacentral:rRNA from 1 species
CGCGUAGGCGGCCACUGCAAGUCGGUUGUGAAAUCUCCGGGCUUAACCCGGAAAGGUCAAUCGAUACUGCAGGGCUAGAGUGCAGAAGGGGCAACUGGAAUUCUCGGUGUAGCGGUGAAAUGCGUAGAUAUCGAGAGGAACACCUGCGGCGAAGGCGGGUUGCUGGGCUGACACUGACGCUGAAGCGCGAAAGCUAGGGAGCAACG